GAGUGAAAUAGAACCUGAAACUUUAUGCUUUUAAUGAGAUGGAGCCUACGGGUGACAUCGUACUUUUUGUAGAACGGACCAACGAGUUAGUGUAUGUGGCAAGGUUAAGGAAGUUAAAUCCGAAGCCGAAGUGAAAGCGAGCCUGAAUAGGGCGAUUGAGUCAUAUAUACUAGACCCGAAACUAGGUGAGCUUCCCAUGAGCAGGCUGAAGCGAUGGUAAAACAUCGUGGAGGGCCGAACCAUUAGGAGCUGCAAGUCCUUUGGAUGACUUGUGGGAAGGAGUGAAAAGCUAAUCGAACCUAGAGAUAGCUGGUUCUCCGCGAAAUAGCUUUAGGGCUAGCCUCGGAUUACUAUUUUACAGGGGUAGAGCUCUGAUUGGACUAGCGGGCCUCGCGGCUUAGUAAAUCCUGACAAACUUCGAAUACUGUAAAAACUAUACCGGGAGUCAGACGGUGACAGAUAAGUGCCAUCGUCAAGAGGGAAACAGCCCAGACUACUGUCUAAGGUCCCUAAUUAACAACUAAGUGGAAAAGGAUGUGGGAUUGCUGAGACAACCAGGAGGUUGGCUUA
rnacentral:rRNA from 1 species